GACAGAGGGUGCAAACGUUGCUCGGAAUUACUGGGCGUAAAGCGCGUGUAGGUGGAUUGGUGUGUCAGAUGUGAAAUCCCUGGGCUCAACCCAGGAACUGCACCUGAAACUACCAGUCUUGAGUGGUGGAGAGGGAAGUGGAAUUCCUGGUGUAGAGGUGAAAUUCGUAGAUAUCAGGAGGAACACCAGUGGCGAAGGCGGAUCUCUGGGCCGAUACUGACGCUGAGGAGCGAAAGCGUGGGGAGCGAACAGG
rnacentral:rRNA from 1 species